UAGUUUCGAUCCGUCCUCUUUCUGU
rnacentral:sRNA from 1 species